CCCCGUAAUCAGACCGGAAGUAAACAUCAGCUGUUUGUUAUCUAGUCUCCCCUUAAAAGGCACUGUAGUCAGCCAGAUGGGGCGUUUCCUCGCUGUUCCUGACCUUGUUAAUGCUAUGUGCACAUCAGACUAAGGUACGCUGUUUCCCCCUCUUGUAUUCUGUGUAGAAUUACUAAUACAUGUUGAAUAAAUAUAAUUUCACUCACCCCUCAUGCAGGUGCUGUUUACCCACAUAUCCAAGUUGCCGGGCGGUAGCCUUAGCCCUCUCCAAUGCAGUUAGCACACUUGCAAGCUGGCGUGUGUGGCAUGUUUAUGUGCCCAGAUGAGCACUCGUAACUUGCGGCUUAAAGGAGUGAAGCAGCAUGGUGAUGCCGUUCGGGUGGUUUGGCCUUGCUGUAUUUGUUUGAGGAGGAGCUCUGUUGUCAGUGCUGUUUUUGUUGUAGUUAUUAUUUAUUUUCUUUUUGGUGUAGAAUUUGUCUUUGAAUACCAGUGGGUAUUUUCUGCUAUUUUCAUGUGGUUUGUUUAUUGUUUGAGUUAAGAAAACUUCCUUUGGUUUAAUUUCUAAUUACUGUUAGUUUAUGUAUGGGUUGUGGUUGUAAGUAGUGGCCUCUCCGUUGCUAAACCAAUUGCCGUGGGCAGAGUUUAUGUUGUUGGCGUUCUGGCUGGGCUGGUUGGGUUGCUGGGCCCUACGGGUGGUGGGUUACCGGGUGGGGCUUUCACCUUUUCACCUUUCACCUGUGUGCCAGUUUUACUAACCGUGAGUGUGAGUUUCCGUGUGUUUACUGCAUGCUAUUUGGCUGUGCACUGCUAACCCCGUGUGCCUUUCUCUUGCAGUGUGAGCAGUUGCAUGACAUGCUGGUGGUGGUGGUGAAACACCCUAACCCUCUCCCCUCACUCCCCUCAAUCUGUGGGUUUCUCUGGCACCCUUCCCCCUGUAUUGGUAACAAACCCCCCAAAACA